AUUGAACGCUGGCGGCAUGCCUUACACAUGCAAGUCGAACGGCAGCACGGGUGCUUGCACCUGGUGGCGAGUGGCGAACGGGUGAGUAAUACAUCGGAACAUGUCCUGUAGUGGGGGAUAGCCCGGCGAAAGCCGGAUUAAUACCGCAUACGAUCUACGGAUGAAAGCGGGGGACCUUCGGGCCUCGCGCUAUAGGGUUGGCCGAUGGCUGAUUAGCUAGUUGGUGGGGUAAAGGCCUACCAAGGCGACGAUCAGUAGCUGGUCUGAGAGGACGACCAGCCACACUGGGACUGAGACACGGCCCAGACUCCUACGGGAGGCAGCAGUGGGGAAUUUUGGACAACGGGCGAAAGCCAGAUCCAGCAAUGCCGCGUGUGUGAAGAAGGCCUUCGGGUUGUAAAGCACUUUUGUCCGGAAAGAAAUCCUUGGCCCUAAUACGGUCGGGGGAUGACGGUACCGGAAGAAUAAGCACCGGCUAACUACGUG
rnacentral:rRNA from 1 species